AACGAACGCUGGCGGCAUGCCUAACACAUGCAAGUCGAACGAGACCUUCGGGUCUAGUGGCGCACGGGUGCGUAACACGUGGGAAUCUGCCCUCAGGUACGGAAUAACUCAGGGAAACUUGAGCUAAUACCGUAUGAUGGCCUUAUUGGAAACUUUGGGGCCAAAGAUUUAUCGCCUGAGGAUGAGCCCGCGCAGGAUUAGCUUGUUGGUGAGGUAAAGGCUCACCAAGGCGACGAUCCUUAGCUGGUCUGAGAGGAUGAUCAGCCACACUGGGACUGAGACACGGCCCA
rnacentral:rRNA from 1 species